UCAAACUUGGUCAUUUAGAGGAAGUAAAAGUCGUAACAAGGUUUCCGUAGGUGAACCUGCGGAAGGAUCAUUAACAAUUAUCCACGAUAAUGGAUAAUUUUAUCCAUAUCCACCUUGUGUGAAUUACUGAAGUGUUUGUUGGCAGGUUGAAAGGCAAUCCGUUAUGGAGAGCUUGCGAGCUUCCGGCUCGGCCUGCCAAUUUUAUUUGUUUAAACUUGUCUAAAUAUUGCUGUCUGAAAUAAUUUAAAUAUAUAAUAUUAAAUACAACUUUCAACAACGGAUCUCUUGGCUCUCGCAUCGAUGAAGAACGCAGC
rnacentral:misc_RNA from 1 species